rnacentral:rRNA from 1 species
UACGUAGGGUGCAGGCGUUAAUCGGAAUUACUGGGCGUAAAGCGUGCGCAGGCGGUUUCUUAAGUCAGAUGUGAAAGCCCCGGGCUUAACCUGGGAACUGCGUUUGAAACUGGGAGACUUGAGUGUGGCAGAGGGGGGUGGAAUUCCACGUGUAGCAGUGAAAUGCGUAGAGAUGUGGAGGAACACCGAUGGCGAAGGCAGCCCCCUGGGUCAAGAUUGACGCUCAUGCACGAAAGCGUGGGGAGCAAACAGG